GAUGAACGCUGGCGGCAUGCUUUACACAUGCAAGUCGAACGGUAACAGGGUGCUUGCACCGCUGACGAGUGGCGAACGGGUGAGUAAUGCGUCGGAACGCACCGAGUAAUGGGGGAUAACGCAGCGAAAGCUGUGCUAAUACCGCAUACGCUCUGAGGAGGAAAGCGGGGGACCUUCGGGCCUCGCGUUAUUCGAGCGGCCGACGUCUGAUUAGCUAGUAGGUGAGGUAAGAGCUCACCUAGGCGACGAUCAGUAGCGGGUCUGAGAGGAUGAUCCGCCAAGCUGGGACUGAGCCACGGCCCAGACUCCUACGGGAGGGAGCAGUGGGGAAUUUUGGACAAUGGGCGCAAGCCUGAUCCAGCCAUGCCGCGUGUCUGAAGAAGGCCUUCGGGUUGUAAAGGACUUUUGUCAGGGAGGAAAUCCUUAGCGCUAAUACCGUUGAGGGAUGACAGUACCUGAAGAAUAAGCACCGGCUAACUACGUGCCAGCCGCCGCAGUAA
rnacentral:rRNA from 1 species